UACGGAGGGGAGCUAGCGUUGUUCGGAAUUACUGGGCGUAAAGCGCGCGUAGGCGGACCUGCAAGUCGGGGGUGAAAGCCCGAGGCUCAACCUCGGAACUGCCUUCGAUACUGCGGGUCUCGAGUCCGGGAGAGGUGAGUGGAACUCCGAGUGUAGAGGUGAAAUUCGUAGAUAUUCGGAAGAACACCUAUGGCGAAGGCAGCUCUCUGGGACGGUACUGACGCUGAGACGCGAAAGCGUGGGGAGCGAACAGG
rnacentral:rRNA from 1 species